rnacentral:rRNA from 1 species
AGCGAACGCUGGCGGCAGGCUUAACACAUGCAAGUCGAGCGGGCGUAGCAAUACGUCAGCGGCAGACGGGUGAGUAACGCGUGGGAACGUACCUUUUGGUUCGGAACAACCCAGGGAAACUUGGGCUAAUACCGGAUAAGCCCUUACGGGGAAGAUUUAUCGCCGAAAGAUCGGCCCGCGUCUGAUUAGCUAGUUGGUGAGGUAACGGCUCACCAAGGCGACGAUCAGUAGCUGGUCUGAGAGGAUGAUCAGCCACAUUGGGACUGAGACACGGCCCAAACUCCUACGGGAGGCAGCAGUGGGGAAUAUUGGACAAUGGGCGCAAGCCUGAUCCAGCCAUGCCGCGUGAGUGAUGAAGGCCCUAGGGUUGUAAAGCUCUUUUGUGCGGGAAGAUAAUGACGGUACCGCAAGAAUAAGCCCCGGCUAACUUCGUGCCAGCAGCCGCGGUAAC